rnacentral:rRNA from 1 species
GACGAACGCUGGCGGCGUGCUUAACACAUGCAAGUCGAACGGAAAGGCCCUGCUUUUGUUGGUUGCUCGAGUGGCGAACGGGUGAGUAACACGUGAGUAACCUGCCCUUGACUUUGUGAUAACUUCAGGAAACUGGGGCUAAUACCGGAUAUGAGCUCCUGCUGCAUGUUGGGGGUUGGAAAGUUUCGGCGGUUGGGGAUGGACUCGCGGCUUAUCAGCUUGUUGGUGGGGUAGUGGCUUACCAAGGCUUUGACGGGUAGCCGGCCUGAGAGGGUGACCGGCCACAUUGGGACUGAGAUACGGCCCAGACUCCUACGGGAGGCAGCAGUGGGGAAUAUUGCACAAUGGGCGGAAGCCUGAUGCAGCAACGCCGCGUGCGGGAUGACGGCCUUCGGGUUGUAAACCGCUUUCGCCUGUGACGAAGCGUGAGUGACGGUAAUGGGUAAAGAAGCACCGGCUAACUACGUG